UGUGUGUGUGUCUGUGUGUGUGCGCCUUUAAGAGCAAGUCAGCAGAAACUCUCAUCUUCUAGACUGGGCGGUUAAUUAUAAAGCGAUCUAACAAGGCUGUGAAUGAACUGUGCUGCUGGCCUCCUAUCAGCCGGCUAGUAGCCCAUAAUGAGCAGACGCUGGCCCGGACAAACAUAACGGUUACUAACAGAAGAAUAGCAUGGAUGGACAUGAUGGUCGUCUUGGUGACCCACCAGACCCUAGACCCUCCAACCGGACAUCCUCCUCUGAGGCCGAGGCAGCCGCCGACUCCACCCCUGCCUCGACCACGCCCUGGCUGGUGAUGGUGUCUGGCUCCUCCCUCAGAGCAGCCCUCUCCAUGCUCCUGAUACAGCUAUCAAAGUUGAUCACAUGGGUAGCAUAAUUGUCGUGCACAUCUAUCUUACAUCGUCAUUACAUACUGAAAUACAGUAGGAGCUAUUCGGGUUGGCCUACAGCCAGGCAGCUGUGGUUCACAGGAAGGUUCCUGCUCAACUUGACUUCAAAUAAAAGCAGCUAGCGGAGCUGGGACCCCUGCAACUGCUCCUGAAACUCCUGGAUGACUUCUGUCCACCACAGACUGCCUGAACCAGGGGUCUUGUCACGUUCUGCUCUCCAGGUCAGCCCUGGGUCCAGCUCCUGUUUUAAAUCCUCCACCGUCUUCCAGGAGAGCCAGCGCCUCCUGUGCCCCUGCUUCCCCUGUGUCAGGGUCACGGUGGCAGGCAGCAGAGCCAGGGCUUCUGCAGCUCUGAGAAAUCCUCCAUCCUACCCGCGGCAAUGGAGCAGGAUGGACUGUGCUAAUUAAUUGAUUAGUAUGUUCAAUUUGAACCUCAUUAUUUAAAAGUGUGAUGAAUACAAACUCUAGUCGAAGAGCAAUAGUUUCAAUGUGUAAUGUGCCGAUGCAAACAUUGGAUUGAAAGCUAGCAACAAUAGUCAAAUGGUUAAAUUAAACAAACAAAUUGUUAAAUGUAUUUCUUCAUUACUUCAUCAACAAACUAUUAGUGAAAUUGCCCCCUAUCUGGCCAGCCCUUGAAGGAAAACCUCUGGAUCUUUCUACCUGGAGCCUAUCUUCCCAUCAUUUUAAGUGUAAGGGACUAAUGCGGGCAACGAUUUUUUAAAUUGGUCCAGUAUUGCGCGAGAGCGCUGCCUCCCUAAUCCGGCAAAUGGGAUCCAAUGUAAUCCUUUGGGGUAAGAGCAGCCGUCAAUGUACGUUCUCUUAAAGGGCAUUUUUUUUUUUUUUUCCACUGACAGGCUCAGAUUAUAUUCUAACAUUAUGGAAACAAUCCCUGCAGAAAAAUAAAACGUGUUUCUUUACACUUCU